ACAGACGAGGAGCUUGCUCCUCUGACGUUAGCGGCGGACGGGUGAGUAACACGUGGAUAACCUACCUAUAAGACUGGGAUAACUUCGGGAAACCGGAGCUAAUACCGGAUAAUAUAUUGAACCGCAUGGUUCAAUAGUGAAAGACGGUUUUGCUGUCACCUAUAGAUGGAUCCGCGCCGCAUUAGCUAGUUUGGUAAGGUAACGGCUUACCAAGGCAACGAUGCGUAGCCGACCUGAGAGGGUGAUCGGCCACACUGGAACUGAGACACGGUCCAGACUCCUACGGGAGGCAGCAGUAGGGAAUCUUCCGCAAUGGGCGAAAGCCUGACGGAGCAACGCCGCGUGAGUGAUGAAGGUCUUCGGAUCGUAAAACUCUGUUAUUAGGGAAGAACAAAUGUGUAAGUAACUAUGCACGUCUUGACGGUACCUAAUCAGAAAGCCACGGCUAACUACGUGCCAGCAGCCGCGGUAAUACGUAGGUGGCAAGCGUUAUCCGGAAUUAUUGGGCGUAAAGCGCGCGUAGGCGGUUUUUUAAGUCUGAUGUGAAAGCCCACGGCUCAACCGUGGAGGGUCAUUGGAAACUGGAAAACUUGAGUGCAGAAGAGGAAAGUGGAAUUCCAUGUGUAGCGGUGAAAUGCGCAGAGAUAUGGAGGAACACCAG
rnacentral:rRNA from 1 species